UCGAGGACGACGCUGGCGGCGUGGAUUAGGCAUGCAAGUCGAACGGUAUCAUCCUUCGGGGGUGAGAGAGUGGCGAACUGGUGAGUAACACGUAGGUUAUCUACCCUCAAGACGGGGACAACCCAGGGAAACUUGGGCUAAUACCGGAUGUGAGCAACUUUUAGUUGUUUGAAAGGUGGCGUAAGCUGUCGCUUGGGGAUGAGCCUGCGUCCUAUUAGUUAGUUGGUGAGGUAACGGCUCACCUAGGCAAUGAUAGGUAGGCGGCCUUAACGGGUGGUCGCCCACACUGGGAUUGAGAUACGGCCCAGACUCCUACGGGAGGCAGCAGUCGAGAAUAGUCUACAAUGGUCGGAAGACUGAUAGUGCGACGCCGCGUGAACGAUGAAUCCCUUCGGGGUGUAAAGUUCUUUUAUAUGUGAGCAGUGCUUCUUAUAUUAACAGUAUGGGGAGAGAGAUAUUAGCAUAUGAAUAAGCAACGGCUAACUCCGUG
rnacentral:rRNA from 1 species